rnacentral:tRNA from 1 species
GCGCCCGUAGCUCAGCUGGAUAGAGCAGCGGCCUUCUAAGCCGCGGGUCGGGGGUUCGAGCCCCUCCGGGCGCGCCA